rnacentral:lncRNA from 1 species
GCGUCAGAAUAAGGCUGUAAAGGUGGAACUCUGUUUUCUAUAACAGAUUUUCAAGUAAUCUGAAUGAGACAACAACCUUCUGGAGCUGUUUCCGUGUUGCUGAGGUUGGUGCCCUGAAAACAAUCUACUUCCGUGUUUCCAACUGCACUCCUUCCGGGCCAUCAGUGAAGAGUAAGGAGAGCCCAGAGAGGGAAGAGCCUGUAAGCAGGGCUUUGGUUACAGUCCCCCAACGAAGCACUGCAGCUGGCCUCUCUACAGGCCGGCAAGGCCGGCAGCACUGUUGGAACCUCCGCCUUGCAGCUCUCCAGUUGUCUUCCCUCCCUGUUCCCAGUGGCAAGAGUACAGCAGCUGCUAACACACUGCUCCAUUACUUCAGUAAGGAUUUCCUUUCGCGUCUUAUGUCUGCUUGACUAUAUGCUUCUUCCUCCAUCUCUACCCCAGGCAGGGCCUCCCCCUGGACGGCCUAGAACUCACUGCGGGCAGACUGGCCUCAGACUUGUAGGAUAGUGGAUCAUACCAGGAAAUUUGGUAAGGUGGAGUGGGGUCUGUUCCCCAGGCAUACACACCUGAGAUGGUAUGCAGCUCUGCUCCCUGCCAAAUCCCUGGCCUGCCAGACUUCCCACAUAAGAAAACAUGAGGCCUCAACAGUUCUCCAUGCUAAUGAGGUACCUAGAGGCCCUGCAAAAGGUGUCUGAUCCAUUUUCCAUGACGAACAACCAAUAAAGAGUUUGGAACC